GGGACGUUGGUCUAGUGGUAUGAUUCUCGCUUAGGGUGCGAGAGGUCGUGGGUUCGAUUCCCACACGUCCCC